AUUGAACGCUGGCGGCAGGCUUAACACAUGCAAGUCGAGCGCCCCGCAAGGGGAGCGGCAGACGGGAGAGUAAUACGUGGGAACAUGCCCUUCAGUUCGGAACAACCCAGGGAAACUUGGGCUAAUACCGGAUACGUCCGUAAGGAGAAAGAUUUAUCGCUGAAGGAUUGGCCCGCGUCCGAUUAGCUAGUUGGUGAGGUAAUGGCUCACCAAGGCGACGAUCGGUAGCUGGUCUGAGAGGAUGAUCAGCCUCACUGGGACUGAGACACGGCCCAGACUCCUACGGGAGGCAGCAGUGGGGAAUAUUGGACAAUGGGCGCAAGCCUGAUCCAGCCAUGCCGCGUGGGUGAUGAAGGCCCUAGGGUUGUAAAGCCCUUUCGGCGGGGAAGAUAAUGACGGUACCCGCAGAAGAAGCCCCGGCUAACUUCGUGCCAGCAGCCGCAGUAAGAC
rnacentral:rRNA from 1 species